GGCCGCGGUAUUUUGACCGUGCAAAGGUAGCGUAAUCACCUGUCUUUUAAAUAAAGACCUGUAUGAAUGGCAAGACGAGGGUUUUACUGUCUCCUCCCCCCAGUCAAUGAAAUUGAUCUACCCGUGCAGAAGCGGGUAUAAAAACAUAAGACGAGAAGACCCUAUGGAGCUUUAGGCAUAUAUCAAAUAUGUAAAAAACCAAAUUUUUCCAAAUAGGCCUAAAAAAUGAGAAAAACAAGUAUUAAUGAUUAAGUGCCUUCGGUUGGGGCGACCACGGGGAAAAAUAAAACCCCCACAUGGAAUGGGAAAAAUAACCCUAAGCCAAGAAAAACACUUCUAAGCAACAAAAUUUUUGACCAAUAAACGACCCAGGGACACCAUCCCUGAGCAAUGAACCAAGUUACCCUAGGGAUAACAGCGCAAUCCUUUCCCAGAGCCCAUAUCAACGAAAGGGUUUACGACCUCGAUGUUGGAUCAGGGCAUCCUAACGGUGCAGCCGCUGUUAAGGG
rnacentral:rRNA from 1 species